CUCGGGUUCAUGAUUAGGUCGACAAGUUGUUUCACCUGACAGAGUGUACCAGAUAGGUCAGAGGCGUCGAUUCUGAUAAUAUACUCGCCACUCUGCAGGGGCACAACAACCGAUUACUUUAACCCAAAUCUACAGUAUCUAAUGGUCCCCCCAGACUGCGCCCCUGUCUGAAAAAUAGCCGAAGCAUCAACCAAAAUGGUUGGAAGAUGGCCGAGCAUGUUUCGUGCAUACACUUUUCAAUGUGAUAGCAAAGCGACUGGGUGUUCUUGAUUCCGACAAACGAGUUUUCAAUUAUGAACAAAUGGAUAUAGAGAAAAGACUGAAAAUGUCACACCCACGCCGCAGAGUGAACAAUAAAAGAGCCGUUGGUCUAAUUAUAAAGCAAAAUCAUGCAUCGGGUGCAGUAAAAAGCGAGAAAAUUGCAAAUUGGCCGAACGACUGCAUAAUAUAUAAUCCAUAAAAGAGAUACGACAGACAGAGUCAACGUCACACGCAAUCGAAACGAUGGGCCGAACUCGUUUGUCGGCGUCGUGGCAGCGUUGCCAACAGCAAAAUUAUGUGGCACAUAAAAGCAACGAGUAGUGAAGUUUGGCUUCGGUCUCGCAUUGAGAAGCUGUAACGCACACGCACUCACGAUUUCGCCUGGGACUGGCAGGCAUGAAGUGCAAUGGAAAAUACAAUUCCAAGGACAAAUCCAGAAAAUCAAGAAAAACGUGUGAAAUAACUGGCAAGCAGCUGCUAUAAAGGCAAGGGGACUUAAGGAGUCCAAACAACUCACCCAGGUAGCUGAGCCGCACAAAAAGACCCUUGCAAGAGGGGUCGAAAAAAAGCGCCUACCUGGAAGUAAUGCAUUUUCCAGAAAACACCCUAAGCCAGCGCUAGGCAGGCAGUCAGGCCAGCGUAGAGGCAGCUGCAUUACCACCAAGAGCUUACCACCCGAGGUUACUUGCCGACCAACGCAACUCUUCAGGGCGUCAGUCAACUCGAGAAGAUCAAACCAGUGACAUGGUCAAGAAAUAAGUUCCGAAAUAUUUUGAAAAACUAGACGCGGCAGCAGCAAUAAUGGAUCGCCACAUGGCGGUGAUAUUAAAUAUUGUGACCAAAGAUCGUGCUCAAACAAAAUAUAGAAAUAAAGCAGCCUAAAAAAUGCUGCAGAUCAAUAAUGCUGAGAUAUUGAAAAUCAAAUAUUUCGCGCUAUCCGCAAGGGCAAUUGUGUUAAUCGGCCGUAAAUUGAAAAACAAAUUCACGUUUAAAAAACAUUUCACCACGUUGUGACAUUUUAGUAGAAAUUUCCGGAAUGUACUCGAUGGGCUCUUUAGCUUGCGCGUGGGUUUUGUUGGUCGCCAUUGUGACGCCCAGUUUUUGGACACCCUACUGGGUUGCCUAGAGUUUUGGCGCGCUACUUGCCACAGAGUGUUGUCGUGUCUCCAGACAACUGGGCUUGCAUUUCAAACUGCCAUUUAUCAUUAGCCGGAAAUGGGGAAAAAUGUACACUUUCAAUAGAAAAAUUUGCCCGGCGAGCAAUCAUUUUUACAAUUGGUAUUUUUAUGCAUACAUUUGAUGCCACAACACGCACAUGACGAGCACAGAAAUGAAGAGUCACAACAUACUUCACUAUGCACCGAAUGUCGUGUGGGAUUACAUGAAUGCGAGUGGAAAAGCAACAGCCUCUGUUGCACUCUAACGCGCGCCAGGCAAAUGUUUGUGUCGAAAGUGGUAGAGCGGGAUGGCAACAGCUUGAAAUGCAGGGUGUGUGUGUGUGUGAGAGCACACUCUUGCGCGAUAGUGAUGGUCAGAUGGAGAAAGAGACACAUUGUAUGCGGGUACUCAUUUGUAUUAUACAUUCUGUAUAUGCUCGUGUGUAUACUGUACACCUUGUAUCUCGGCUCUCGAGGGGCAUGCAGCACACAUGGCAGUGUAGCAAGUACAGGGGGGACCAACAGGCGUGCGUCACAAGGGAAGAGAGUCAAAUCGCGAGCAUUGGAGCUUCACUCUGCCCAUUAAGUGCCAUCGCACCUGCACAAUAAUCGAUACGGCAUCUAUCAAUGCAAUUGCCCUCGCAACUUAGCGAUGAAAUGCAGCCUGCUGGGAUCACAUUGAAAAGCGAAUCUGUGGAUAGAUGGCCGCUGCAUGGGUCGCUGGAGAAAGCAACCGCGUACAGGAUGUGUGAGAGCGAAAGGCAAGUGAGGUUGUGUCUCAUUUCUGUAUCAAAUAGGUCAUAAAUUUAUAUAACUGGCCUCUGCAUGGGGCACAUGCCGCCAAAUCCAUCCUCAUAAAUCGACCGUCGGUAACAUUCAGUAGCAAAAAUUAGCCUAGCAGUCGAAAAAGAUAUAAAAAAACAAAGCACAUAAAAGCAAUUUUUAGAGUUCGGCGCGACUUAAGCGCGCAAGAAACGCCUUGAAGUCGCCAGCAAAACGCAACAGCGGUUUUUAGUUUACUUUGAUUUUUUUUGUAACCUUUAGUUUCCAUCUUGCUUUUGAACUAACAAACCAAUCGCUUACAGCCCAGUUUUAUAGAUAAAACUAUAAAGCCUUUAUCUCAGCUGCUGGCAGGUGAGUUUCCUCGUCUCCAAAACGGUGCGCAGUCGCGCCAGAGAACGAUCUGACGUGUCGGAGAGGUGUGUUGAUAACCAACCAACCAUAUCUAUAACUCAAUAAAUCGGCUCAUCGUUGUACUUCCUGUGCAUGUCUAGUCCGCAAAUUGUGCUCAAAAAAAAAAAGAAAAGAAAAAAAUUGAAAAAAAUAACAAAGAAUUAUGUUUGUGUGCGCGUUUGCUGAAAAAACGCGUGCGACAAACGCAUUGUGUUUUGUGAGCAGCAAAACAAAAAUGAAAAAAAGAAAAGAAAAAAGGGAAAAAGAUGGCAAACCCCAAUCCCAAUACUGGAAACGUGCGUCCCGGGGUUAGGGUUUGCCCAAGAAAAUGUUUAUAAUGAAAAAAAUAUGCACAUGGAAAAGUACAAAAAGUAUAAGACAAAAGAAAUAAAAAACAAAACCAUAAAAGAUAGGCCACCACGAUUCUCUGGCGCGAUCGCGUCUACUAUAGCAGUAUCCUAGCACCUGCCACCUGCCCCCUCCCCCCACAUAAUCGGCCUAUAUAUUAACCUAUUUUUAUGCUGUGUCCUUUCAGAUAAGAGAAAUGAGUCAGAAAGAAUGAAAGAGGGAAUCAGAUUUGUAGUCAGACAGUGCCGAAGCUUUGGAGCCGAUGGGAGCCUGAGUUUAUAGUUUUUUAGUUUGAUUUCAAAGGCGAUUUCAAAGGCGCAACAUAAACCUAAUUGGCUCACACACGCUCCUUGGCCCCCGCACACACACUCACACUCACAUACACCUUUAAUAGCGUACAUGUGUACUCACACUUUUUAGCAUUCAGGCUAGUUUUUGUUGAAUGUUCCCUCAUAAUUUUCAAUCACAGCACUUGCGGCUUGUGCCUCAAAGCCACAAACUCGUAUUGUUCCGAUCCAAAUUAGUUUCCAUUCACUCGCUUGCCUCUCGAUCGCAACAUCUAUAUACAAGAAUGUAUGCAACUGCCAGAUCCUGACGAUCUGACAUGCAAGCCUCCACAGAGAGUUGACUCGACAAGCUCUGUAGCUGCUGCUGCCAUUUCGUCACUAGCUCCAACAAAUCUGACUGCCCAACAGAUAUCAAGGAGAACACGUCUUUAAAGACCCCCCAAACCGAAUGGGACGAUCAACCCACACCCCGGAUGAUGCAUCCCCGAUGAACUGGAGCUGCCGCAGACAUCCUAACACUACUAACGAUUAACAAAUCUCUCAAUUCCACAGCUGGCCGAUUAUUUAAUUAUUUCUCCUUCAGAUUCUCCUUCAGUUAUGUACAUAACGCUGCCAUUAUUUUUGAGUUCGAUUACGUUUGCGUUGAGUGUGUGUUUAAUUUCUCUGAUUUGUUGCUGCCACCGCCGCUAUUGUGUGUGGGUUUAACGCCUUCAUUUCGUCAUAAUUUCCAUUCUAAUUUCUGACACAUUUUGUUUAAAACACCACACACAAGCACACAAACACACAGAUACACUAACCUUACUGUUUGAGCGCAACCUUCUGUGCAUUUAUCUGCAUCUCUCCUUCUAACAAUUGCCAUCUAAUUCCUUCAUACACACACACACACGCACACACGCACACACUCAUACAUACUUACAAUUAAUACAACUAAUUGGCAAACUCAAGAACAACUCGGAAAAAAGCAUUUCCAUUUAAAAAGCAAUCCUCAACAACAACAACAACGACACCUUCAUUAAAGCACAGUCUUCAUUCCGACCCCUCCUUCGUGCAUUUCUGCAUCUCCACCUCCAAUCACAAUCACCGUCAAUCACCUGUGCUCGUCUCUAAUGUGUAUGUUUCAGGAAAUGCGUCAUAGGAUUGAAGCGUUUUCCGAAACGAAAAAAGUAAAAAAGAAAUAUCUGUUCUCGAACUGCGUAAAACGAUGCGAAAAAUGCCUUUGAAGCGCUCCUUUAAGUGCUUUGGAUGCGUUUUGCAGAAAAAUAUUUUAAAAAAAUAACAACAAUUACACACACAUAGUGAAAAAAAAAAAGAAUACGGCUGAAUGUUUUACGCAGUUGCGAGAAAAAAGAAGCGAAAAAUAUAAAUGAAAUAAAGAAUUAUUGAACAGAUUGCAAAAAUGUGUGGAAGCGUUAUACGCAUUUUCGCCAUUAGUGCCUUAAAAAAAAGAAGAAGAUACUAUUUCGUCGUCGUUAUACGAACGAGCCGAUUUCCAUGGAAACAAAAUAUAUAUUUAUAUGCGUUUGUGUGUGUAAAGCGGACAUGUGCGGGACACGCUCGGUGUGUCGCAUAUGGCCGAUGAAUGAGCUCGAUUUCCCGCGUUUCCAUGGAAAUCUGCAGGCAGUGCCAGACCAGUCGGACUGUAGCCAAGCUGUAAUAAUAGGAAGUGUCUAAAUACCAGACCGAUCGGACUGUACUAGCUUAACUGUAAAAAUAGGAAGUGCCUAAAUAAAAUGACAUCUUAUAUCACUGAACUAAAA